UACACUCCUGCGGGAGGCAGCAGUGGGGAAUUUUGGACAAUGGGCGAAAGCCUGAUCCAGCAAUGCCGCGUGAGUGAAGAAGGCCUUCGGGUUGUAAAGCUCUUUUGUCAGGGAAGAAACGGUGAAAGCUAAUAUCUUUUGCUAAUGACGGUACCUGAAGAAUAAGCACCGGCUAACUACGUGCCAGCAGCCGCGGUAAUACGUAGGGUGCAAGCGUUAAUCGGAAUUACUGGGCGUAAAGCGUGCGCAGGCGGUUUUGUAAGUCUGAUGUGAAAUCCCCGGGCUCAACCUGGGAAUUGCAUUGGAGACUGCAAGGCUAGAAUCUGGCAGAGGGGGGUAGAAUUCCACGUGUAGCAGUGAAAUGCGUAGAUAUGUGGAGGAACACCGAUGGCGAAGGCAGCCCCCUGGGUCAAGAUUGACGCUCAUGCACGAAAGCGUGGGGAGCAAACAGGAUUAGAAACCCGGGUAGUCCC
rnacentral:rRNA from 1 species